UACGUAGGGGGCUAGCGUUGUUCGGAAUUACUGGGCGUAAAGGGCGCGUAGGUGGCCCGACAAGUCCGUGGUGAAAGCUCGACGCUCAACGUCGAGUCGGCCAUGGAUACUGUUGGGCUGGAGCACUGUAGAGGCUCAUGGAAUUCCGGGUGUAGCGGUGGAAUGCGUAGAGAUCCGGAAGAACACCGGUGGCGAAGGCGGUGAGCUGGGCAGUUGCUGACACUGAGGCGCGACAGCGUGGGGAGCAAACAGG
rnacentral:rRNA from 1 species